rnacentral:rRNA from 1 species
AUUGAACGCUGGCGGCAGGCCUAACACAUGCAAGUCGAACGAGUGGCGGACAGGUGAGUAAUGUAUGGGAAACUGCCUGAUGGAGGGGGAUAACUACUGGAAACGGUAGCUAAUACCGCAUACCAUCGGAUGUGCCCAGAUGGGGUUAGCUAGUAGGUGGGGGAACGGCUCACCUAGGCGACGAUCCCUAGCUGGUCUGAGAGGAUGACCAGCCACACUGGAACUGAGACACGGUCCAGACUCUCACGGGAGGCAGCAUAGGGGAAUAUUGCACAAUGGGCGAAAGCCUGAUGCAGCCAUGCCGCGUGUAUGAAGAAGGCCUUCGGGUUGUAAAGUUCUUUCAGCGGGGAGGCGGUACCCGCAGAAGAAGCACCGGCUAACUCCGUGCCAGCAGCCGCGGUAAUAC